rnacentral:tRNA from 1 species
UUGCUGGCAGUCCAGUGGCUGAGACUCUGCACUUCCAACGCAGGAGGCUCAGGUUCGAUUCCUGAUCAGGGAA